rnacentral:tRNA from 1 species
GGGCUCUUAGCUCAGCUGGUUAGAGUGCCUGCUUGACAUGCAGGAGGUCGUUGGUUCAAGUCCAAUAGGGCCCACCA